AAUUAUCUACAAUUUAUCUACAUUUUAUCUACAAUUUAUCUACAAUUCCACAGUUUAACUACACUAUCUGGAAAAAUAUGUCUUCUUCUUGUUCGACGAGUUUCAGUCUGAAAUUCAGUCAAAACCAAGUCUAAUCUUCACCAAAACCCCUCAAUUACCUACAAUUUAACUACAAUUUAUCUACAAUUUCUGGAAAUAUGUCUUCUUCUUCUUCUUCGACGGGUUUCAAUAUGAAAUUCAGUCAAAACCAACUCUAAUCUUAACCAAAACCCCUCAAUAUUGAGAUAUAAACUCCUAAAAAUAUUUCGAAUUAUUUACAACAACACUCAAUACAAACAAAUAAUGAUUUUUUACUCCCCAAAUCUGGAUUCAAAGCUUUCAAGCUUUUUAAUGGCUAUCAAUGGCGGAAAAUACAUGGAGAAUGAGAGAAUCACGCUGCAAUGGAUUUGGUUCCGUUUUAAGUCUCGAAAUUAAUGGUGAUAGAAUCACCAUUAAAUCUGAUUCCUUCUAUUUUGGCGCGUUUUU
rnacentral:lncRNA from 1 species